GCAGGUCAAAGGUUUUAUCCAGGCUGUCAAACUUGUGGCAUCUGACACUUCCCUCCCCAGAGCAGAAGCACUACCUAAAGGCAGGGGCUCUUCCUCCAUCAGCAAUUUACAUAGACUGCACUUAGAUGCUCUGGCUGCCCUUCUGCGGGGUGAGCUUCCUCCCACAUUCAAACAUGGAGCCUUUGUUCAACUUGGUCUGACCCAUAAAUGGGAGAAGCGUUGCUAAUACAGCUUUAAUGACACUCCCACACCAGCAAAAUUCUUGGCUCCUGAGGAGGAAGGAGGGCUGUUUGUCCUUGUUCGAGCUCUUUGCAAAGGAGAAUCGCUGAUCCUGCUCCAUCUGAGGGAGUGGGAAGCAAAUGCAAGUGGGGGAGGCAAGCGCCUCUGGACUCCAGAUGUGAUGCUCUGCAAGGCUCGUGUUGCCCUGUCUCCAGCAGCGAUUCCUCUGCAGGUCUCGUUAACCUUGUGCAAUUGGGCAGGAAAAGGCCAAGAGCAUGGACCUUCCAGAGUCCUUCCACCUGCUCCGAGCUUCAGAAGAGGGGUAAGGCUGCGGGACAGGGGUCAGAAUGUGCAGUCAGCCAGGGACACUGCCGGGACUCACCGUGAGUAUUCGCACCGCGUCUGCCAUGGAGGAGCUGUGCUCUUGGCUGCUGAGCUGGGGUGCCCUGCAAAAAAUGGAAGAUGCUUUCCAAUCAAGUGAGAGCUCUGUAUGCAUAAUAAACAUGUGAUUUUCUGAUGGCUAUGUACAGCACAAAUGCUGAAGAAUAGUCUGUGUGCCUUGUCAGAGCACUUAAGUUAAAUAGGGGCACUUUGCAUCAUUGUUUUGAUCUUCAAAAUAAGAGACAAUUGAAUGCGAAGAGCUGUAGGGAACUUUCAAAGGCACAUGAGCAAUUAGGAGCAUAAGUCCUCUUGGCCGAAUGAUCACUUUGGGAUAUUUUUCUUUUCCUGUAUCCUUAACUCCCCUCCAAGUAUUGAUGGCAAAAUAGGUCUUGGAAAAUUUGACUCCCUCCAGCUUGUUUGUCUUGUUGGUGAAUCUCUGGAUGUUCCAAGCCAUUUUAGGUUUCCUCUUCACUGCUAAUGGCUACUUUUACUGGGUUGGUAAAAUAACAUCCAGUUGCUGAUGAACUUCUGUUUUGCUGGAAGUCUGUCUGCAGGUCUUCCUAUAAAAAGGUUUGUGUGAUGGAGAUUGACUGGUAUAAAUGGUGCAUGUCUGUGUACAUAAUGUCUGUGUAUGAAUAGAUGAAAUUUUAUAGAAGGAAAACUUUCCUCCUUAGGGAAACACUCCUUAGUAGUGUUGGCUGAGUCUGAAUUCCUCUUGUAACACCACCAUCCAGAAUUUCAUAAAACUGCCAAUAUAGUAUCCAUGCUAAUGUCCUUUUUAGCUCCAAACCUGACAGGAGUUAUCUUGGACGUCUGUCACACUGAGUUUUUUAAGGAUUUUUACUAAUCAUGGAAUCAUGGAAUGGGUUGUAACAUUUUCAAGUACACCCGAGCGUGAAAGUCUUGCUUAUGAUCACUGGAGAAGCCCUCCAUGGCUGCCUCAACAGCA